UGAGCAAUCUGCCCUUCUCUUCGGAAUAAGCGUUGGAAACGACGUCUAAUGCCGAAUACGACCUCCUUUCGCAUGAUCGGAGGUGGAAAGCUCCGACGGUCAAGGAUGGGCUCGCGGCCUAUCAGCUUGUUGGUGAGGUAACGGCUCACCAAGGCUUCGACGGGUAGCCGGCCUGAGAGGGCGACCGGCCACACUGGGACUGAGAUACGGCCCAGACUCCGUACGGGAGCAGC
rnacentral:rRNA from 1 species